rnacentral:rRNA from 1 species
UACGUAGGGGGCAAGCGUUGUCCGGAUUUAUUGGGCGUAAAGAGCGUGUAGGCGGCCAGGUAGGUCCGUUGUGAAAACUCGAGGCUCAACCUCGAGACGCCGAUGGAAACCAUCUGGCUAGAGUCCGGAAGAGGAGAGUGGAAUUCCCGGUGUAGCGGUGAAAUGCGUAGAUAUUGGGAGGAACACCAGUGGCGAAGGCGGCUCACUGGACCGGUACUGACGCUGAGGCGCGAAAGCGUGGGGAGCAAACAGG